GAUGAACGCCGGCGGCGUGCCUAAUACAUGCAAGUCGAGCGAACAGACGAUGAUCUUGUUCCUCUGACGUUAGCGGCGGACGGGUGAGUAACACGUGGAUAACCUACCUAUCACACUGGGAUUACCUCGGGAAACCUGAGCUAAUACUGGAUAUUCUAUCGAACCGCACGGCUCCAUACCGCAACACGGUUCUGCUUGAACUUAUUGAUGGCUUCGCGCCGCAUUAGCUAGUUGGUAAGGUAACGGCUUACCUAGGCAACGAUGCGUCACCGACCUGAGAGGGUGAUCGGCCACACGGGAACUGAGACACGGUCCAGACUCCUACGGGAGGCAGCAGUAGGGAAUCUUCCGCAAUGGGCGAAAGCCUGACGGAGCAACGCCGCGUGAGUGAUGAAGGUCUUCGGAUCGUAAAGCUCUGUUAUUAGGGAAGAACAAAUGUGUAAGUAACUGUGCGCGUCUUGACGGUACCUAAUCAGAAAGCCACGGCUAACUACGUG
rnacentral:rRNA from 1 species